GGAGGCGUGGUGAAUUUGGUAGAGAGGACGGUUUAAAAAGCCGUUGGGGUAAACCCGGGGGCGGUUCGGGUCCGCCCGCCGCUACCA
rnacentral:tRNA from 1 species